rnacentral:tRNA from 1 species
UGUCCUGUGGCUCAGUCGGUUAAAGCGCCGAGCUAACGAUACGGUGUCGUCGGUUCGAAUCCCAUUAUAGCAA